rnacentral:rRNA from 1 species
GGACCCGCACAAGCAGUGGAGCAUGUGGUUUAAUUCGACGCAACGCGAAGAACCUUACCAGCGUUUGACAUGGGAAGUGCCGGUUACAGAAUGGUAACCUUCAGUUCGGCUGGCUUCCGCACAGGUGCUGCAUGGCUGUCGUCAGCUCGUGUCGUGAGAUGUUGGGUUAAGUCCCGCAACGAGCGCAACCCACAUCCCUAGUUGCCAGCAGUUCGGCUGGGCACUCUAUGGAAACUGCCCGUGAUAAGCGGGAGGAAGGUGUGGAUGACGUCAAGUCCUCAUGGCCCUUACGGGUUGGGCUACACACGUGCUACAAUGGUAGUGACAAUGGGUCAAUCCCAAAAAGCUAUCUCAGUUCGGAUUGUCGUCUGCAACUCGACGGCAUG